rnacentral:lncRNA from 1 species
UCCCCUGGACGGACUUCUUGCCGCUGCUCCACAGCGGGUAGUUCAUGUCAUGCUUAACGGCGGCUUCGCCGUUGGAGUCAACGGUGAGGUAGCAGUCGGUGCCGAGGCCGGUGGUGUUGGUGGCCCAGGUCUUCUGGUUGUGGAAGCGGAGGACGAGGUCGCAGUCGUGGUUCAUGGAGAGGGAGGCGGGGCCGUAGGGGAUGCCCUGGGGAGUGAGGUCGUACUGGAAGCUUUGACCCGGGAGGAGAGCGGUGGGCGGGUCGGAGUAGAUGACGAAGUCGGUGCUGGCCAUACCAAGCGGAGCG